rnacentral:rRNA from 1 species
UACGUAGGUGACCAGCGUUGUCCGGAUUUACUGGGCGUAAAGAGCGCGCAGGCGGUCGUUCAAGUCGAGUGUGAAAGCCCCCGGCUCAACUGGGGAGGGUCAUUCGAUACUGAUCGACUUGAAGGCAGGAGAGGGAAGUGGAAUUCCCGGUGUAGCGGUGAAAUGCGUAGAGAUCGGGAGGAACACCAGUGGCGAAGGCGGCCAUCUGGAUCAACACUGACGCUGAGGCACGAAAGCGUGGGGAGCAAACAGG